AUCAUGGCAAUGGGAGAGUAAGAAAGCAGCAAAUCAUUACCACAAUGGCAGUGAAGAAGUGGAAAUCAGUGACUGUCUUGGUUACCUUGAAAAGAGCAGCUUUACCCCACCACACUCAACCUGCCACAGAGAUCUGCCUCAACACAAGCCCAGUUUGACAGGGCUUGUGGACUGAACCCUCUAAAGCCAUAAGUCAAAACUCAGGAAUGACAUGCCUUCGAUGUCUGCUUCCAAGAUGGGCACAGUAGCACUCAC